UACGUAGGGUGCGAGCGUUGUCCGGAAUUAUUGGGCGUAAAGAGCUCGUAGGCGGUUUGUCGCGUCUGCCGUGAAAGUCCGGGGCUCAACUCCGGAUCUGCGGUGGGUACGGGCAGACUAGAGUGUGGUAGGGGAGACUGGAAUUCCUGGUGUAGCGGUGAAAUGCGCAGAUAUCAGGAGGAACACCAAUGGCGAAGGCAGCACUCUGGGACGUGACUGACGCUGAGACGCGAAAGCGUGGGGAGCAAACAGG
rnacentral:rRNA from 1 species